AGUGGUGCGACUGUGCGCAUGCGCCUCAGAAAAUUCGUUUGAAAGAACACGUCCUGCCCCCGGUGCUUAACCGGGUUUUUACUGUGAGGGGAUGCUGGAAAUGAGCUUUUACGGACAAAUGUGACAAACCUCGACUAAACAGAAUUGUUUGGGAGUUUUUCGUGAUUUAAUUAAAAAACGCAGCGGAUUAAAGUAACUAGGUGCAUGACAAUGAGACCAUCUAGCCUGGAGUUCUGGGAGUGAGCUGCUGGCCCAAGUCUAGGAGUCCAAGUGUCUCAGGCUCUUGUUCACAACUGAGAGAAGAAAGGAGCGGGAGACUGAUGGAUGGAUUGGUGCAGAGGGUGUGCUCAGGGAAAGCUGAGCGUCAAAAUCCAGUCCAUUUACCAUGUAGCACCCUCCCUGACCCUGAAUCUUCAUGCUAUAAAUACAGAUCGAACACCGGGGCCCACCGCUCUCCAGGCGUGCCUAAUAUUUCACCUGCCAUAGUAUCAACAUAAUCUUAUUGCCUCCCUGCUUCAGUUCCUGUGCUGUGCCUGGCCUUGGACUCGUAUGCUCAAGAGUCAGUUCCUCGCAUGACCACUGCUCCAGAGUCUGUGCAAAUAUCCACUAGGAACAGGUAAAGCCUUUAGUUUCAGCCAUUCCUGGUGACUUCCAUCAUGUUAAUGAUGCUCUGGUUUGAAUCUCUUACAUUUGGCAAGCCUACUGAAAAACCUACCUGACUGCCUUCUUGCCUAUGUGGCUGAUGUUUGCCUGUAAUUCAGCCCUUACGUUGCCACCCUGAGAUCUUCUGUGUCCCAGUACUUAAGGUGUUGGACUGUCUCUCAGUGCCUGCUCUAGGUUUCUUUUUUGCUUUGUUCGUAUUAUUUUUUUAAAUCUGUUUUUUUUAAUGUGUGACCUUUUGGGCUGUUUUUUUUACCCUUUGACUGCCAUUACUGUCAUUUGCUUGCAUAGUUUGCAUUCACUGACCACUGUGUAUGACCGCUUUCUGGGAAUAAAAUCUUGCAUUGUUGCGGACCUUUAUGGUGGCCUCCUGUGUCCUUUAUUUGGACUCAUACAAAGAUGGCAAUAAACUCAAGUAAUGCAACAACAUAUUGACAGCCUGUAGUGAAGCAGUAAAUUCACAAAAUAUGCUAGAACUGCUUUCACUUAACAGUUCAAUGGUUUCCUGUAUAAGAUUUUUUUUUAUUAAGAAUCUUUAUCGACACAUUACAUUUGAGUAGUUUUUCAUGGACAAAUUUUCAAACAUACACUUUAGAAAAAUAAUUGCAUGUGCCCAUUGUUGCAGACUGUUUUUAUCAGCAGCUUUAUCAGCUUAUCUUUGAUAAAUUCCACCUCACAAUAGGCGAGGGCAAGGACAGGUCACAAGUCAUGCAAGGUGCUUUUGAGAAAUUUAUUAAAAUGUGAAAAAAAAUUCAAUGGAAGUUCAAGAAAAAGAAAUGUUAAAGUUUUAAGUCAAUAUGUUUAACUUAUACAAAUUAACUAAUGCUAAAAAUCGGUAUGUUCA
ensembl:lncRNA